rnacentral:lncRNA from 1 species
AUGGAUCAGUUAUAAGAAUAAAAUCUUAACAUGGCCUGAGUAGAAAGAUAUUAUUAUGCCAUGAGAUGAAAGGGAUUAUUCACCAAAAAAACUUCUGGAUCUAACUAAGAUGCACCUGUAGGAACUAAAAGAAAACACAUGGGGAAAGAAUCUGGAAGGUGCUAGAGGAAGAAGAACAGAAAAUAAUGCUGAAUGGGGGAGGUGGUUAUUGAUAGAGGGGAACUCUUCUAUAAUUCAGGAUUUAAUAUACUGGCAUGGACACCUGCAACUGGUUCUAAUUCUUUUCUAGGAUGGUUCCUUGAAGCUUGAAAACAAUGAUGAUGUAUAGCCAGUAAUAGAGAAGAUGUCCAAUAUCUUGACAGAGAAUUAAGGAUGAGAGAAAAGGCCCAGAGAGUUGAACGCAUUAGAAUAGAUUAAAUAUGCAAGACUAGAGACAUACUGAUCUCUGUGAGAGUUAGUGAUUAUUUCAUUCACUGAGGUGAUGAGGGAUGUCUUAGUAGAGGGUGAGAUGGGGGCACCAGCAUCAUUACAAAGCUCAAUGGAGUUGUCCUCUGUACUCAAGGGUUGAUGAUAAGAGAUACUGCUGUGGAAUUGAGCUCUAAUGUUAGUGAGGAUGACCGGAUUUCAGAAUAGCAAAGGCCAGGUUUUGACAUUUAUCUGUCAGAGGCAAGGUAGACACGAAUACCAUGAUGGGCUGACCUCAAGGCUAGGAUGACAGCUAGGGGACCUUGACCCCCAGAGAUUUCUGGAAAGCCAAAUAUGUCAUAAUAUUCCAAGGAGUGAAAUAUAUGGACAAUGAACAAGGGUAUUGCUUGACUUGUAUAAUAAAGUCAACAGACAAGCAAACUGCAGGUUAGUAUAAGAAUAAUGUUAACUGCUUCAGUGGGAAAAGUGGAGUUCCUCACACAGUUUCCAGACUUGACCCAGUUUUCAGAUCCGGAGCCUUUUGGUUGAAGGGGAGGCUAAAUCCCAUUGAGGAAAUGUACUAUAAUGUCAGAGUAAGAAUAUAAAGUAGAUAUUUCCGCAUUUUUCCUCAAGGAGCUGUGGCCAUUAACUAGAUUAAUUGGACACCAGGGAAAGUGGAGUGCAGAAUUAGAGAGAACACAGUCCAUAAGAUGGCCUUUACUUUUGACACUAAUUACCAGUUCAGGGGUUCUGCAAACCACUUUCAGUUUCAGUGAUUGGCUAGAAGAAUUCACAGAGCUAGUGAAAGGUGUUAUACUCAUAGUUAUGUUUUUUUUUUUUUGUUUUUUUUUUGUUUUUUUUUUGUUUUUACAGGAAAGUGAAGAGUUUUAAUAUAGAGUUAGGUUUAUUACAAGAAAAA